CUGCCGGUGGACCAUUAAACUCUUGUUAUUUUAUGUAAUCUGAGCGUCUUAUUUUAAUAAGUCAAAACUUUCAACAACGGAUCUCUUGGUUCUGGCAUCGAUGAAGAACGCAGCGAAAUGCGAUAAGUAAUGUGAAUUGCAGAAUUCAGUGAAUCAUCGAAUCUUUGAACGCACAUUGCGCCCAUUAGUAUUCUAGUGGGCAUGCCUGUUCGAGCGUCAUUUCAACCCUUAAGCCUAGCUUAGUGUUGGGAAUCUACUUCUCUUAGGAGUUGUAGUUCCUGAAAUACAACGGCGGAUUUAUAGUAUCCUCUGAGCGUAGUAAUUUUUUUCUCGCUUUUGUUAGGUGCUAUAACUCCCAGCCCGC
rnacentral:rRNA from 1 species